AAGCGCCCCAUUCGGAUUGCAGGCUGCAACCCGCCUGCAUGAAGCCGGAAUCGCUAGUAAUCGCGGAUCAGAAUGCCGCGGUGAAUACGUUCCCGGGUCUUGUACACACCGCCCGUCACACCAUGGGAGUCGGGAAUGCCCGAAGUCAGUGGCCCAACCGGAAGGGGGGAGCUGCCGAAGGCAGGCCCGGUGACUGGGGUGAAGUCGUAACAAGGUAUC
rnacentral:rRNA from 1 species